UACGUAGGUGGCAAGCGUUGUCCGGAUUUACUGGGCGUAAAGAGCGCGCAGGCGGUCGAGUAAGUCGAAUGUGAAAGCCCCCGGCUUAACUGGGGAGGGUCAUUCGAUACUGUUCGACUUGAAGGCAGGAGAGGGCAGCAGAAUUCCCGGUGUAGUGGUGAAAUGCGUAGAUAUCGGGAGGAACACCUGCGGCGAAGGCGGGUUGCUGGGCUGAUACUGACGCUGAGGCGCGAAAGCCAGGGGAGCGAACGGG
rnacentral:rRNA from 1 species